UGAUUGAAGUUGCUAGAAUGAGAGGGUUGAAAGUGCAAGGGUGAGUAAACGUGGUURAAAUGCGUMUUAGCAGGGGAUAACAUUUGGAAACAGAUGCUAAUACCGUAUAACAAUAGCAACCGCAUGGUUGCUACUUAAAAGAUGGUUCUGCUAUCACUAARAGAUGGUCCCGCGGUGCAUUARUUAGUUGGUGAGGUAAUGGCUCACCAAGACGAUGAUGCAUAGCCGAGUUGAGAGACUGAUCGGCCACAAUGGGACUGARACACGGSCCAUACUCCUACGGGAGGCAGCAGUAGGGAAUCUUCCACAAUGGGCGAAAGCCUGAUGGAGCAACGCCSCGUGUGUGAUGAARGGUUUCGGCUCGUAAAACAYUGUUGUAAGAGAAGAAUGACAUUGAGAGUAACUGUUCAAUGUGUGACGGUAUCUUACCAGAAAGGAACGGCUAAAUACKUGCCARCAGCCSCGGUAAUACGUAUGUUCCAAGCGUUAUCCGGAUUUAUUGGGCGUAAAGCGAGCGCAGACGGUUAUUUWAGUCUGAAGUGAAAGCCCUCASCUCAWCUGAGGAAWUGCUUUGGAAACUGGAUGACUUGAGUGCMSUAGAGGAAAGUGGAACUCCYUGUGUAGCGGWGARAAAAA
rnacentral:rRNA from 1 species